rnacentral:misc_RNA from 1 species
GUUUUCUGCUUCUUUUUUCGUCCCCCUGGAUCUACCUACCUUUGUACUUAACGCAACUGGAUUUUAGGAUUUGGGGAUUUUGCAUGCUGUCCUCGGUGAACUGAGCUUUAUUUUUUUCCUCUGCUGUUUUAUAGUUGCGAAAAUGGCAGCUUAUUCUGGAUCUGUCAGCGCUGUCCAGGUUGGUUCUUACUUUGUGGAGCAGUACUACCAUGUUCUUCGGCAACAACCUGACCUUGUCCACCAAUUUUACUCUGAAGCUAGCUCCAU